rnacentral:lncRNA from 1 species
AUGGAUAUUGUUCAGGUUGAUAUUGUUCUUGUUUAAGCAUUUGGGAAACCAAGCAUUUGAUAUUGUUCAUGUUGUUUAGGUUUUUAAGUAUUUCGGAUAUCAUUGGAUUUGGGAUAAUUGAAUUUACCUUAUUGGGAUCAUCAUUGCAUUCUUCUUUUUUUACCUCCAUUUAUAACAAACACCUAAUUAGUUGCAAGGAGUCACA